UACGUAGGUGGCAAGCGUUGUCCGGAUUUACUGGGCGUAAAGAGCGCGCAGGCGGUCGUUCAAGUCGCGUGUGAAAGCCCCCCGGCUCAACUGGGGAGGGUCACGCGAUACUGAUCGACUCGAAGGCAGGAGAGGGUAGUGGAAUUCCCGGUGUAGUGGUGAAAUGCGUAGAUAUCGGGAGGAACACCAGUGGCGAAGGCGACUACCUGGCCUGUUCUUGACGCUGAGGCGCGAAAGCUAGGGGAGCAACGGG
rnacentral:rRNA from 1 species